GGCCAGCAGACACCCAGGCUCCAGUCAGAACAUGAGCUGUUUCACCCCACAGGAAAGAGCCGCUGGCAUGGCACUUCUCAGCUUGCUGUGGGCACUUGUGCUCUCCACUUCUCUUGGAAUCAGUGUGGCCCAGAAAGUCACUCAGUCUCGACCAGAAAUAUCCAUACCAGAGGCAGCAACAGCAACCCUGGACUGCACAUAUGACACUUCGGAGACCAAUUAUUACUUGUUCUGGUACAAGCAACCUCCCAGUGGGCAGAUGAUCUUCAUUAUCCGCCAAGACGCUUACAAGCAGCAGAACGCAACUGAGGCUCGCUUCUCUGUGAACUUCCAGAAAGCAGCAAAGUCCUUCAGUCUCAAGAUCUCAGACUCAAAUCUGGGGGAUGCUGCCACAUACUUCUGUGCAUUCUCUACACUCACAGUGAUCCAAGCACCAAAGAGAGACACACAAAAACCUCAGACCUCAGCAUCUGUGCAGGGGUCAUGGGGUGGAGUAACAGGAAAAUAAUGAGCAAGUCAUUGUCUUCUUCACAGCAGAAAAAUACUCUUCUCUCUGACUGUAGGGAACACAGAAAUGAUUCUAUAAUUCUUGA